UGAUUAGUUAGUUGGUAAGGUAAAGGCUUACCAAGGCGAUGAUCAGUAGCUGAUUUGAGAGGGUGAUCAGCCACACUGGAACUGCGACACGGUCCAGACUCCUACGGGAGGCAGCAGGUGGGAAUAUUGGACAAUGGGGGAAACCCUGAUCCAGCAAUACUGCGUGAAUGAUGAAGGUCUUCGGAUUGUAAAGUUCUUUAGAUAGGGAAAAUUAUGAUGGUACCUAUAGAAUAAGCACCGGCAAACUUCGUGCCAGCAGCCGCGGUAAUACGAAGGGUGCUAGCGUUGUUCGGAAUUAUUGGGCGUAAAGGGUGUGUAGGUGGUCUUAUAAGUUAGUUGUUAAAUCCCAAUGCUCAACAUUGGAAUUGCAGUUAAUACUAUAUGGCUUGAAUGAAAUAUGAGGUGGCAGAAUUCCUAGUGUAGGGGUUAAAUCCGUAGAUAUUAGGAGGAAUACCAGUGGUGUAAACGGCUAUCUUGGUUUUUAUUGACACUAAGACACGAAAGAGUGGGGAGCAAACAGGAUUAGAUACCCUGGUAGUCCACUCUGUAAACGAUGAUUACUAAAUGUCUGGAAGUAAUUCUGGGUGUUAAAGCUAACGCGUUAAGUAGUCCGCCUGGGGAAUACGGUCGCAAGACUAAAAACUUAAAUGAAUUGACGGGGACCCGCACAAGCAGUGGAACAUGUGGUUUAAUUCGAUAGUCCACGAAGAACCUUACCAAAUCUUGACAUCCUAAUUACGAGUAUGGAAACAUGCUUUACAUUUAGUUGAAUUAGAGACAGGUGAUGCAUGGCCGUCGUCAGCUCGUGCCGUGAGGUGUUAGGUUAAGUCCUUUAACGAGCGCAACCCCUAUCUUUAUUUGCUAACAGGUAAUACUGAGAACUA
rnacentral:rRNA from 1 species